rnacentral:rRNA from 1 species
UACGGAGGGUGCAAGCGUUAUCCGGAUUCACUGGGUUUAAAGGGUGCGUAGGUGGGCAAGUAAGUCAGUGGUGAAAUCUCCGUGCUUAACAUGGAAACUGCCAUUGAUACUAUAGGUCUUGAAUCUUCUGGAGGUUAGCGGAAUAUGUCAUGUAGCGGUGAAAUGCUUAGAUAUGACAUAGAACACCAAUUGCGAAGGCAGCUAGCUACAGGGGUAUUGACACUGAGGCACGAAAGCGUGGGGAUCAAACAGG